rnacentral:lncRNA from 1 species
AUGAAGAAUUUUUUUUUAAAUAAAUAUUUAAUCUAUUUGAAUAAUGUAUACAAAUUGGAUAAUAAAAAAAAAAAAUCGGGUGUUGAAAAAUGGCAUACAAAUAAUAAUGGUUUAAAUGAGUUGAAAGAAAAAGAAGAUUUGGGUAUACAUAAGGAGGACAAAAAAAAUAAAACAACUGAACAAACAAAAGAAUUAAGUAAAAUAAGCAAUUUGUUGAAUAAUACAGAAGGAGAUAAAAUUGGUGAUAGUGAUAAAAUUGGUGAUAGUAAUAAAAGUAACGAUUACAUUAAACCAAUUAAGAAAUACUUUUAUUUAAAUAAAGGCAUUGUAAGUUUACUAACCGAGGCUUAUAUUCAAGAUAUAAUUAUCAGGAAAAAUUUAAAAGAAAAUAUAUGUAUUAAUAUUUUAAAAAAUAACUAUGUGAUUAUAAAUGCUGAUAGUUCCUUCGGAGAUGGUACUAAAACAGAUAAUGUUGAUACCAGUGAUAAUAAAAACUAUUUGACGUACACUCACUAUGUCCUAAUAAAUUCCAAAAAAAAAAAAAAUAAAAUAAAUAAGAAUACAAAUAAAAAUGAAGAAAGUACAAAUAGUCAACCAUGUAAUAAAGAUGAUACAAAAACGAAUGUUGAAACACCAAAUAGUAGCUCAAAUUUAGAAACAACAAACAGCAUUAACAAUUUUAACAAUGCCAAAGCAGAUAUAAAUAAUGAAACACAUUUAAAAAAUGCCAUUGUUUUUUAUGUACCACUAUUAGAAACCGAAAAGUCAAUCAGCGAAACUGUGCUUAAUACUGUAUUUGAACUUAUAUUGUUAACACAUAAAGAGUCUACAUUUAUUUAUAAUAUUUCCAAAAAUAUAUUAUAUAAGUUUAACAAUACUAGCAGUAGUGACAGUGGUAGCAGUAGUGACAGUNNNNNNNNNNAUAAACAGUAUGGUAAUGAUAAACAGUAUGGCAAUGAUAAAGAAAAUAUAGUAAAUGCACAUACAUUCAAUACGGAUGACAAACACAAGAUAUGUGAACAAAUAUUUAAAGAUGAAGAAAACAAAUUUAAAACGGAAAAAAACAAUCCAUCAAAUAAUGUUGAAUGUACUACCUACACUCAUAACGUAUAUAAGAAAAAUAAAAAUAAUUUUGAAUACCAGCAGAUAAGUAGAUUUGAAAAAAACAAAAUUUUUAUUAUACCUGGCUCGAAAAUGUGGACAUUGAGGUUGGCGUGA